UAGUUUUAAAAAACCUAGUGCAAAAUC
rnacentral:piRNA from 1 species